AACGAACGCUGGCGGCAGGCCUCAAACAUGCAAGUCUAGGGGGUGUAGCAAUACAUCACCGGCGGACGGGUGCGUAACGCGUGGGAAUAUACCUAUCGAUUCGGAACAACUGAGGGAAACUUCAGCUAAUACCGAAUACGUCCUAACGGAGAAAGAUUUAUCGUCGAUAGAUUAGCCCGCGUUCGAUUAGCUAGUUGGUGGGUAACGGCCCACCAAGGCGACGAUCGAUAGCUGUUCUGAGAGGAAGAUCAGCCACACUGGGACUGAGACACGGCCCAGACUCCUACGGGAGGCAGCAGUUGGGAAUCUUGGACAAUGGGGGAAACCCUGAUCCAGCCAUGCCGCGUGAGUGAUGAAGGCCUUCGGGUUGUUAAAACUCUUUCGCGCACGACGAAUAAUGACGGUAGUGCGAGAAGAAGCUCCGGCUAACUUCGUGCCAGCAG
rnacentral:rRNA from 1 species